UACGGAGGGUGCAAGCGUUAUCCGGAUUCACUGGGUUUAAAGGGUGCGUAGGUGGGUUGGUAAGUCAGUGGUGAAAUCCCCGAGCUUAACUUGGGAACUGCCAUUGAUACUAUCAGUCUUGGAUACCGUGGAGGUUAGCGGAAUAUGUCAUGUAGCGGUGAAAUGCUUAGAUAUGACAUAGAACACCAAUUGCGAAGGCAGCUGGCUACACGAAUAUUGACACUGAGGCACGAAAGCGUGGGGAUCAAACAGG
rnacentral:rRNA from 1 species